UGGGAUGCCCGUCCUCCACAGACUGCGGGAGCUCUCAGGGGGGGGGGAUCUGGAGCCCUGAGUCACCGGGCCCUCAGAACGCCAGGGACUUUAAAGAGAACUUCUGUGCCCUCGAAGCAAACAUGAACAGCUACAGGAAGAAAGGCCUUCACGUGCCAAACACUGUGCCCUCCCUAAUGUUUGGGACAAAGGUUCAAUCAGAGGACGGGAAAGGGACACUACCUGUGAAAGUACAUUUUCUCCACAUGCUCUUUCAUUCAU